GUUGUGACUCAGAGGUAGAGCUCUCGCCUAGCACAUGGGGGGCCCUGGGUUCAAUCCUCAGCACCACA
rnacentral:tRNA from 1 species